rnacentral:rRNA from 1 species
AUUGAACGCUGGCGGAAUGCUUUACACAUGCAAGUCGAACGGCAGCACGGGGCAACCUGGUGGCGAGUGGCGAACGGGUGAGUAAUACAUCGGAACGUGCCCAAUCGUGGGGGAUAACGUAGCGAAAGCUACGCUAAUACCGCAUACGAUCUACGGAUGAAAGCGGGGGAUCGCAAGACCUCGCGCGAAUGGAGCGGCCGAUGGCAGAUUAGGUAGUUGGUGGGGUAAAGGCUCACCAAGCCUGCGAUCUGUAGCUGGUCUGAGAGGACGACCAGCCACACUGGAACUGAGACACGGUCCAGACUCCUACGGGAGGCAGCAGUGGGGAAUUUUGGACAAUGGGCGUAAGCCUGAUCCAGCCAUGCCGCGUGAGUGAAGAAGGCCUC